UACAGAGGGGGCAAGCGUUGUUCAGAAUUACUGGGCGUAAAGGGCGCGUAGGCGGCCUGCUAAGUCGAACGUGAAAUCCCUGGGCUCAACCCAGGAACUGCGUCCGAUACUGGUUGGCUUGAAUCCGGGAGAGGGAUGUGGAAUUCCAGGUGUAGCGGUGAAAUGCGUAGAUAUCUGGAGGAACACCGGUGGCGAAGGCGACAUCCUGGACCGGUAUUGACGCUGAGGCGCGAAAGCCAGGGGAGCAAACGGG
rnacentral:rRNA from 1 species